rnacentral:rRNA from 1 species
GAUGAACGCUGGCGGCGUGCCUAAUACAUGCAAGUCGAGCGAAUGGAUUAAGAGCUUGCUCUUAUGAAGUUAGCGGCGGACGGGUGAGUAACACGUGGGUAACCUGCCUAUAAGACUGGGAUAACUCCGGGAAACCGGGGCUAAUACCGGAUAACAUUUUGAACCGCAUGGUUCGAAAUUGAAAGGCGGCUUCGGCUGUCACUUAUGGAUGGACCCGCGUCGCAUUAGCUAGUUGGUGAGGUAACGGCUCACCAAGGCAACGAUGCGUAGCCGACCUGAGAAGGUGAUCGGCCACACUGGGACUGAGACACGGCCCAGACUCCUACGGGAGGCAGCAGUAGGGAAUCUUCUGCAAUGGACGAAAGUCUGACGGAGCAACGCCGCGUGAGUGAUGAAGGCUUUCGGGUCGUAAAACUCUGUUGUUAGGGAAGAACAAGUGCUAGUUGAAUAAGCUGGCACCUUGACGGUACCUAACCAGAAAGCCACGGCUAACUACGUGCCAGCCGCCGCGGUAA